ACGGAAGGCAGCAGUAGGGAAUCUUCGGCAAUGGGGGCAACCCUGACCGAGCAACGCCGUGUGAGUGAAGAAGGUUUUCGGAUCGUAAAGCUCUGUUGUAAGAGAAGAACGUGUGUGAGAGUGGAAAGUUCACACAGUGACGGUAACUUACCAGAAAGGGACGGCUAACUACGUGCCAGCAGCCGCGGUAAUACGUAGGUCCCGAGCGUUGUCCGGAUUUAUUGGGCGUAAAGCGAGCGCAGGCGGUUUAAUAAGUCUGAGGUUAAAGGCAGUGGCUUAACCAUUGUUCGCCUUGGAAACUGUUAGACUUGAGUGCAGAAGGGGAGAGUGGAAUUCCAUGUGUAGCGGUGAAAUGCGUAGAUAUAUGGAGGAACACCGGUGGCGAAAGCGGGUCUCUGGUCUGUAACUGACGCUGAGGCUCGAAAGCGUGGGGAGCAAACAGGAUUAGAUACCCUGGUA
rnacentral:rRNA from 1 species